UACGGAGGGUGCAAGCGUUAUCCGGAUUCACUGGGUUUAAAGGGUGCGUAGGUGGGCAAGUAAGUCAGUGGUGAAAUCUCCGGGCUUAACCCGGAAACUGCCAUUGAUACUAUUUGUCUUGAAUACUGUGGAGGUCAGCGGAAUAUGUCAUGUAGCGGUGAAAUGCUUAGAUAUGACAUAGAACACCAAUUGCGAAGACAGCUGGCUACACAAAUAUUGACACUGAGGCAACGAAAGCGUGGGGAUCAAACAGGA
rnacentral:rRNA from 1 species